UUUACACAUGCAAGUCGAACGGCAGCGCGAACUUCGGUUUGGCGGCGAGUGGCGAACGGGUGAGUAAUAUAUCGGAACGUACCCAGUAGCGGGGGAUAACUACUCGAAAGAGUAGCUAAUACCGCAUACGCCCUACGGGGGAAAGGGGGGGAUCGCAAGACCUCUCACUAUUGGAGCGGCCGAUAUCGGAUUAGCUAGUUGGUGGGGUAAAGGCUCACCAAGGCGACGAUCCGUAGCUGGUUUGAGAGGACGACCAGCCACACUGGGACUGAGACACGGCCCAGACUCCUACGGGAGGCAGCAGUGGGGAAUUUUGGACAAUGGGGGAAACCCUGAUCCAGCCAUCCCGCGUGUGCGAUGAAGGCCUUCGGGUUGUAAAGCACUUUUGGCAGGAAAGAAAUCGCAUGGGUUAAUAACCUGUGUGGAUGACGGUACCUGCAGAAUAAGCACCGGCUAACUACGUGCCAGCAGCCGCGGUAAUACGUAGGGUGCAAGCGUUAAUCGGAAUUACUGGGCGUAAAGCGUGCGCAGGCGGUUCGGAAAGAAAGAUGUGAAAUCCCAGGGCUUAACCUUGGAACUGCAUUUUUAACUACCGAGCUAGAGUAUGUCAGAGGGGGGUGGAAUUCCGCGUGUAGCAGUGAAAUGCGUAGAUAUGCGGAGGAACACCGAUGGCGAAGGC
rnacentral:rRNA from 1 species